rnacentral:rRNA from 1 species
AGACGAACCGGUCGAACGUUAUUCGGAAUCACUGGGCUUAAAGAGUGCGUAGGCGGUCUGGCAGGUGAGGUGUGAAAUCCCUCGGCCCAACCGAGGAACUGCGCUUCAAACCGCCAGGCUUGAGGAAGAUAGAGGUGAGCGGAACAGAUGGCGGAGCUGUGAAAUGCGUUGAUUUCAUCUGGAACACCUGUGGCGAAGGCGGCUCACUGGGUCUUUUCUGACGCUGAGGCACGAAAGCUAGGGUAGCGAACAGGAUUAGAUACCCCAGUAGUCC